rnacentral:rRNA from 1 species
UACGUAGGGGGCAAGCGUUGUCCGGAAUCAUUGGGCGUAAAGAGCGUGUAGGCGGCCCGAUAAGUCCGCCGUGAAAGUCCAGGGCUCAACCCUGGAAUGCCGGUGGAAACUGUCGGGCUGGAGUCCGGAAGAGGCGAGUGGAAUUCCCGGUGUAGCGGUGAAAUGCGCAGAUAUCGGGAGGAACACCUAUUGCGAAGGCAGCUCGCUGGGACGUUACUGACGCUGAGACGCGAAAGCGUGGGGAGCAAACAGG